rnacentral:lncRNA from 1 species
AUGUGGACAUUCCAAAGAAUAUUUGAUGAUGUUUUUAAAAGCCUUCAAGCUACAAGGUGGACAUUGGGAAUAAUGGGGAUGCUGCUAACAGAGAAUGAUGAACUUAGGAGACUCGUGAGAAGGUGUAUAGAAGGAGGCAUACAUCCUGCAAGGAGAUCUCACAAAAAGGAAAACCACAAGAGAAGUUGUAGAGAUGGCUGGAGCUGCACCACGGAGGCCCUGGUUCAUCAUUUUUUAGUGUUUAGACUUUGCCGGGAGCCUGAAUAUGAUGCUCAAGUGACACAGGCAUUGACUACAAGUUGGACAAAAUGGCCUUUUAGUUUAUUCCAGGCCUGAGACUCUGAGUUUAUAAUUCUCCGGCUGGGGGGAAGUAAACUUUACUCACCAAUGCCUGUGCUGAUCAGAUAACCUCAAAGCCCAGACACACUGCAUAAUUCUCCGACAGCAAUAACUCAGCUGGCAGUUCCCAGGCAGAGAUGUGGGAGAAAGUCCAAUAUCCGGGAAGCGCUAGGAUCUACAACUUCCUGUGGUCUGCCUAGUGAAAUUUGACCAGAUAAGAACAGUUAAUAAGAAGCUCUCGAGAUAGAAAAGCUCCUUUUAUUUCUGAAUGCGGGUAUAUUGAUGUUAAAUACCUGAAUGCAUGAAGUUAAUUUGAAUAAUCUUCUAUUGUUGCAAGAAAUAUGGAAAAGUAUUCAGGAAAACUAGAAAAAUUCUUCAUACUUGUGGCAUGAACCGAAAGAAGUCUUUCACUAUUUUGACAAAUGAUGACUCUACUGUUUUGUGUGAGGGUAGAAGCUUUUAAGGACUGGACCCCAAGGCACCCCAUUGUGGUGCCUAGGAAAAGAUCAAACCUCAUAUUCUGGACCUUCCUUCUAUAACACUUUGCAAGUCAUGCCAGAUUCCCAUCAAGGCUGAACAAUUUGCCUUGAGGCCCCCAAAUAUUUCCAAAUGUAGUUAAUGGCUUCAAAAAGAAAACAAGCAUUGCAAUGAAAGCACUUAAUGUCUAUCAAUUCAAUUGCCAAGAAGUUCUUCUCUUUUGAAUACUCAAAGGACAGGAUCCCUGGGCAAUGACUUAUUGUUUCCCUUGCCUGCACUGCAAUGAUUACAGAGACUGUCCAGGUAAAUAUUGUGAUACCUAGAUUCUGCUAGUGAUCUCUCCCUUUAUUUUCUUGAAACAAUUUUAUAACUGUGAUCAUAUUCCCCCUUUUCUCCUGUCAUCAUGUGGGGAUAAACUUACUAUAAAAUGUCAGAAGCUGCAUUCAUGGCUCAAAAUCCCUUGGUAAACAAAACCGAGCUAUGGGCCUCAUAAAGAUUUAGCAAGAAAGCAGCAUAGCUUAGUAUUUGAGUGAGAGGUCUGUUGUCAGGCGGAUCCUGAAUUAAAUCCCCACAUCUGCCACUUACUAAUUGUGUCAUUUCUGUGCAUCUCGGUUUCUUCAUCUGGAAAAUGGAUAUGAUAAUAGUCAUACUUAUCUCAUAGGAUUGCUUUAGGGGUAAAAUAAAACAAAGCACAGCAGUGCCUGAUUAAAAUAU